GCGACCCCAGGAUGGGCGAGGUCACCC
rnacentral:rRNA from 1 species